CCCAGUCUCUGAGAGUUGACUUUGACACAACACACACCUCAGCCUCUCUCUCAUGUCUCUCCUCUCUCUCUAGGUCUGUCCCAGUCUCUGAGAGUUGACUUUGACACAACACACACCUCAGCCUGUCUCUCCUCUUCUCCCUGCACUCCAGAGUAUCUCCAACAGGCUCUUGGCAUUAAGAAACCCAAACACCUGCACUCCUCAUCCAAUGACUACAGAGAGAAGGAGGACAUGUACGAUGAGAUCAUCCACCUCAAGAAGAGUCUUCAGGCCCAGAAGUCUGAGAAGGACAGGAUGAAGGCCAAACUAC